AGAGUUUGAUCCUGGCUCAGGAUGAACGCUGGCGGCGUGCUUAACACAUGCAAGUCGAACGGGAAACAUUUUAUUGAAGCUUCGGCAGAUUUAGAUUGUUUCUAGUGGCGGACGGGUGAGUAACGCGUGGGUAACCUGCCUUAUACAGGGGGAUAACAGUCAGAAAUGACUGCUAAUACCGCAUAAGCGCACAGGACCGCAUGGUCCGGUGUGAAAAACUCCGGUGGUAUAAGAUGGACCCGCGUUGGAUUAGCUAGUUGGUGAGGUAACGGCCCACCAAGGCGACGAUCCAUAGCCGACCUGAGAGGGUGACCGGCCACAUUGGGACUGAGACACGGCCCAAACUCCUACGGGAGGCAGCAGUGGGGAAUAUUGCACAAUGGGGGAAACCCUGAUGCAGCGACGCCGCGUGGAGGAAGAAGGUCUUCGGAUUGUAAACUCCUGUUGUUGAGGAAGAUAAUGACGGUACUCAACAAGGAAGUGACGGCUAACUACGUGCCAGCAGCCGCGGUAAAACGUAGGUCACAAGCGUUGUCCGGAAUUACUGGGUGUAAAGGGAGCGCAGGCGGGAAGACAAGUUGGAAGUGAAAUCUAUGGGCUCAACCCAUAAACUGCUUUCAAAACUGUUUUUCUUGAGUAGUGCAGAGGUAGGCGGAAUUCCCGGUGUAGCGGUGGAAUGCGUAGAUAUCGGGAGGAACACCAGUGGCGAAGGCGGCCUACUGGGCACCAACUGACGCUGAGGCUCGAAAGUGUGGGUAGCAAACAGGAUUAGAUACCCUGGUAGUCCACACCGUAAACGAUGAUUACUAGGUGUUGGAGGAUUGACCCCUUCAGUGCCGCAGUUAACACAAUAAGUAAUCCACCUGGGGAGUACGACCGCAAGGUUGAAACUCAAAGGAAUUGACGGGGGCCCGCACAAGCAGUGGAGUAUGUGGUUUAAUUCGACGCAACGCGAAGAACCUUACCAAGUCUUGACAUCCUGCGACGAUGCUAGAAAUAGUAUUUUCCUUCGGGACGCAGAGACAGGUGGUGCAUGGUUGUCGUCAGCUCGUGUCGUGAGAUGUUGGGUUAAGU
rnacentral:rRNA from 1 species